rnacentral:misc_RNA from 1 species
GAACGCACAUUGCGCCCGCCAGUAUUCUGGCGGGCAUGCCUGUUCGAGCGUCAUUUCACCACUCAAGCCUGGCUUGGUGUUGGGCGACGUCCCCUUUGGGGACGCGCCUCGAAACGCUCGGCGGCGUGGCACCGGCUUUAAGCGUAGCAGAAUCUUUCGCUUUGGAAGUCGGGGCCCCGUCUGCCGGAAGACCUACUCGCAAGGUUGACCUCGGAUCAGGCAGGGAUACCCGCUGAACUUAAG